CUAAGGAAGCGCAUUUCCUGCCUCCCCGGGCCAGGCUGGAUGAGCCGGGAGCUCCCCACUGCUGCCGGUCAGACCCCAGCCUCCAUCCGCAUCCACAGGCCGGGCCGGCCGCCGCCGCCACCGCCGUCCACGGAGGCCCAGCCGCCCCUCCCCGCUCAUCCUUUGGCCAGCGACCCCCGGCCCGUUCCUGCGCUCUCGUGCCCACUUCUCCUGACCCCUCGGCCGCCACCUCAGAAGGCUGGAGCAGGGACGCUGUCGCUCCAGCUGCCUGCUCCCCUUGGGUCCCCGAGAGAGCCCACGCCGGCCCCCGCGCCCGUCGGCAGCCCUGCCCCUGGACACCGGAUAAGGCCCAGCGCACAGACCCCAGGGUGGACAGCAUGGACCGUGGCAUGCUCCCCCAGGCCAUCGCCCUGCUGCUGGCCGUCUGCAGCUUCGGCCCCACAGCAGGUCUUGCAGAAGGAGUCCAGUGCGACCUACAGCCUGUGGACCCCAAGGUGACAUACACCACGAGCCAGGUUUCUGAGGGCUGUGUGGCGCACGUCCCCAAUGCCACCGUGGGUGUCCACAUCCUCUUCUUGGAAUUCUCAAAGGAGGUGUCAACCCUGGAGCUGACUGUCCAGAUGACCAACCCAAACGGCGCCCGGCCCCAAGAGGUGCUCCUGAUCCUCAGUGUGAACAAGAAUAUCCACCUGACGUUGCAAGUUCCAGAAAUCCCACUCCACUUGGCCUACGAUUCCAAGCUGGUCUUCCUCCAAGAGGCCCCCAAAGCCGUGAUCACAGAGCUGCCACCCUCCACUACCAAGAACCAGCUCUUCCUCUGGGCAAAUACAAAGGGCUCCAUCAUCUCUGCUGCUGAGCUGGACAAUCCCCAAAGCAUCCUCCUCCGUCUGGACCAAGCCCCGACGUCACCAUCCCGCUGCACGCUGGAACCCCGCAAGGACAUGGGCCACACGCUGGAAUGGAAGUCUCACACCCAGGCCUCGGUCCUGGGCUGCCACCUGGAAGGGGUGACUGGCCACAAGGAGGCGCACAUCCUGAGGGUCCUGCCCGGCUCAGAGGCUUGGCCCCGGACAGUGACGGUGGAGGUGGAGCUGAGCUGCGCUUUGAGGGAUCCCGAGGCAGUGCUCAUCUUGCAGGGUCCGCCCUACGUGUCCUGGCUCAUCGACGCCAACCACAACGUGAAGGCCUGGACCACUGGUGAAUACUCCUUCAAGAUCUUUCCAGGCAGUAACAUCCAAGGCGUCAACCUCCCAGACACACGCCAAGGCCUGCUGGAGGAGGCUCGGAAGCUCAACGCCAGUGUGAUAGCAUCUUUUGUAGAGCUCCCUCUGGCUAGCGUCAUCUCUCUGCAGGACCGCAGCUGUGGCAGUGGGCUGCAGCCCUCACCCACAACGGUCCAGAUCACCCCUCCCGGGGAGGGCUGCAACCAGGACCUGCUCCUGUCCCUGAUCCAGCCCAGGUGCUCCGACGACGUCAUGACUCUGGUACUCAGGAAAGAUCUCAUCUCGACUCUGGGGUGCACCAUCACGAGCCUGACCUUCUGGGACCCCAGCUGCCAGGCCGAGGACACAGAUGACAAGUUUGUCUUGCGUGGCACCUACUCCAGCUGUGGCAUGAAAGUGGCAGAAAAUGUAGUGAUCAGCAACGAGGUGGUCAUCAACCUUCUGUCAAGCUCAUCACCGCAGCGGAAACAGGUGCAGUGCAUCAACCUGGACAGCCUCUCCUUCCAGCUGGGCCUCUACCUCAGCCCGCACUUCCUCCAGGCCUCCAACACCAUCGAGCUGGGGCAACAGGGCUUUGUGCAGGUGAGCAUGUCCCCCUCCAUCCCUGAGCUCAUGACCCAGCUGGACAGCUGCCAACUGAAUCUGGGGCCUGACGUGGAAAUGGUGGACCUCAUCCAGAACCAGGAAGCCAAGAGCAGCUGUGUGAGCCUGCUGUCCCCGAGCCCUGGUGGGGACAUGCGCUUCAGCUUCCUCCUCCGUGGCUACGUAGUGCCCAUGCCCACGGCGGGCAUCCUCAGCUGCACCGUAGCCCUGCGUCCCAGGACUUGGUCCCUGGUGAGUGGGGCCUGGCCCAGGCCCAGCUUCAAGGGCGACUUCUGGAUCAGGGGUUUCCAGGAAUGCGAUGGCCCAGGAGGAUGUGGGACCAGCGGGCAAGAGACAUGGCCCCAGGCAGGCAUGUGGCAUUUUUUCUGCCACCCCACAGCUAUGCUGUGUCUUUUCACGGGUAGGCUAUGCAGCUGCAACCAUUCUCUAUCCAUCCAUCCACCAUCUCAUCACUUCUCGGCCCUUUGGCUAAGAUCAAGUGUAGUGUCUGUUCUUACCAGUUUAAUAUCUGAUACGUCCUUAUCCACCAUCCCACGCGGUCAUCUAGCCAUCGUGCCCCCAUCCCAUCCAGUCAUCUAUAAAUGAGUCGGUUCUUCUCACCAUCUCACCCAGUCAUUUAUCUGCAGGCUUUCCACCAGCCCAGGUACCCAUCCAUCCUGCCAUCCUUCUCCAUCCUCCACCCACCCACCCAUCUGUCCACGUAGUGUGACCACCAAUAGCAUCUCAAUAAACAGGAGACCUCGGGGAGUAGGGUUAGUACACAGGACACACCAUUCUGAUUUUCUGCAGCUACUGAUCACACUUCUUCCUUUGGGGGAUGCUUGUUGCAGAGAAGCCGCUGAGGCUGCUCCUGAGUGGGCCUCUCCCCCAGCCACGGGGAGCCUGGUUCCCCCCUCCCAGGCUUUCACAAGUGUAAUGGACACAGUGUCCCCACAGUCCUCGGGGGAGUUGGGGGCUCCGGGAAACUCACAGGAAACAUUCCAGUAGCAGGACUGUCUGGUCUGCACCCCCCCUCAGCAGAUCUCCCAAGUCCAGGCUCCGGGGUGGACGGGGACAGGCCGGGGCCAGAGAGCCAGGCAGUAGGCCUGGAAGCUGCCUCUCGAAGCCUGGGCCACACACCUCGCUCUCCUCCUCCCCCAGGAUGUCCACAAGACUGCAUCCACGCGACUGAACAUCGUCAGCCCGGGCCUGCCUGACAAAGGCCUGGUCCUGCCCGCUGUCCUGGGCAUCACCUUCGGCGCCUUCCUCAUCGGGGCCCUGCUCACCGCCGCGCUCUGGUACAUCCACUCGCACACGCGUCACCCCGGCAAGCGGGAGCCCGUGGUGGCGGUGGCUGCCCCGGCCUCCUCGGAGAGCAGUAGCACCAACCACAGCAUCGGGAGCACGCAGAGCACGCCCUGCUCCACCAGCAGCAUGGCGUAGCGCCCAGCCUGGAGCCCUGGGGGCCACCCCACCAGCCCUGGCCCAGCAGGAGAGACUGAGCAGCCGCCAGCUGGGAACCACUGGCCAUGAACUUAUCCCAGGACCCCAACCCCUCCAUUCGGCCAAGGACGGACCAUGCCCUCUGCGCCCUCCCCUCCUGCCUCCCUCUCAGAGGCCUGCUGCCAGGGAGGGCACCAGCUUGGAACAGCUUGGGGUCCCCCCACCCCACCCCACCGAACCGUCAAACCCAGUGGGCUUGGGGUACAGCUGCCCGGGACCACGGAGAAAGAGACCACUUCCCGACAUGUCCACGCUGUCGUAGCAACCCAAGGGGCUGUGAUUUAACCUGGAUUCAGCACUCACUGACCUGGGCUGGGUGGGAGUUGAAAACUCCCAGACGGACUCAGCCCAGCCCGCCCAGGCUGACAGGCACCUCCUCCACGAGAACAGAAGAGGUCCGGCCCAGAGCCACCUGGACCUGCUCCCAGCGGCCUCCCCAUCUGGACUGGCACAACUUCCAAGGGGAAACUGAAGUUUAGGGGCUCCCAGCCUGGGAGUGGGGGAGCCUAGCUCCUCCCUGUAACCGCCACACAGAGACACCCCCCCCUCUGCCCCCAGGCAGCCAGGCUGCCUGACCUGGGCCCACCCCUGUAUACUCACCACCAAUAAACCAGACCAUGAAACCAA